UACGAAGGGGGCUAGCGUUGCUCGGAAUCACUGGGCGUAAAGCGCACGUAGGCGGCUUCUUAAGUCAGGGGUGAAAUCCUGGAGCUCAACUCCAGAACUGCCUUUGAUACUGGGAGGCUCGAGUCCGGGAGAGGUGAGUGGAACUCCGAGUGUAGAGGUGAAAUUCGUAGAUAUUCGGAAGAACACCAGUGGCGAAGGCGGCUCACUGGCCCGGUACUGACGCUGAGGUGCGAAAGCGUGGGGAGCAAACAGG
rnacentral:rRNA from 1 species